rfam:Triticum aestivum genome assembly, contig: Triticum_aestivum_CS42_TGACv1_scaffold_178143_2DS
AACUUACUCACUCCGUCCGGAAAUACUUGUUCGAGGAAUGGAUGUAUUUAGAUGUAUUUUAGUUCUAGAUACAUCAAUUUGUAUCCAUUUCUACGACAACUAUUUCCGGACGGAGGGAGUACUAA